GCACCCGCGGUAAUUCCAGCUCCAAUAGCGUAUAUUAAAGUUGUUGCAGUUAAAAAGCUCGUAGUUGGAUUUCUGGAAGGGUGCCGAUGUCCACUUAACGUGUGCGCAGCGGCGCCCUCUCAUCCUUCUGUUAGCGUCUCUUGGCAUUCAUUUGCUGGUGGCGGGCUCAGAUAUUUUACCUUGAGAAAAUUAGAGUGUUUCAGGCAGGCUAGGCCGGAAUACAUUAGCAUGGAAUAAUGGAAUAGGAGUACGGUCUCUUUGUUGGUUUGAGGGACUGCAGUAAUGAUUAAUAGGGAUAGUUGGGGGCAUUAGUACUUAACUGUCAGAGGUGGAAUUCUCAGAUUUGUUAAAGACUGACUUAUGCGAAAGCAUUUGCCAAGGAUGUUUUUAUUGAUCAAGAACGAAAGU
rnacentral:rRNA from 1 species